GAUGAAGAACGCAGCGAAAUGCGAUACGUAGUGUAAAUUGCAGAAUUCAGUGAAUCAUCGAAUCUUUGAACGCACAUUGCACCUCUCGGUAUUCCGGGAGGUAUGCCUGUUCGAGCGUCAUUUGUACCCUCAAGCUCUGCUUGGUGUUGGGUGUUUGUUCCGCCUCUGUGUGUGAACUCGCCUCAAAACAAUUGGCAGCCGGCGUACUUGUUUCGGAGCGCAGCACAUUUUGCGAUCCAGAUCAACGUACAGCGGCAUCCAAGAAGCCUUAUUUAACGCUCUUGACCUCGGAUCAGGUAGGGAUACCCGCUGAACUUAAGCAUAUCAAUAAGCGGAGGA
rnacentral:misc_RNA from 1 species